rnacentral:rRNA from 1 species
AUGGAUGCUACUGUUGUGCCGUCCUAUCCGGUGACGACUGUCGCUCCGGCGGCGGGCGGCGAACAGCUAGCGGGCAACUCGCCCUUCCACGAAGUGCUAAUCAUCACGGCCGGUUAUGAGGGGGGAUGGACUAUGUUUGAUAUCCACACGUUCUCGACUGACAAACUGAGCUGGAGUACAACGCGCUCCCUUCAAACUAUGUGGGGCAAUACCCUCGGAUCAUUCUGUCAAACCGAUGCCGUCGUCUGCCACGGCAUCGCGUACUGGCUAUUUCGUGACGAGAGGCGACGGUGUUACUGUCUUGUUAAAAUGACUAUCCAGAAGGGCUAUCUCAUGUUCGGGUGGCCCCCGGUUCUGAUGAUGCUUGACCGAAAUCACCGUCCGUGCCUUAGCCUGGCAAGCGAUGGCACACUCUCCCUGCUACAGAUGCAAGAGAGAGGUUCCAAUCUAGAGAUAUGGGGAGCAAAGAGCCAAGAGAGUCCGUAUGGUGUCUUGGAGUGGCUCCACCCUAAGACGAUCGAGCUGAUACAACCACAUUGGAAGAAGAAGACCCAAGGAAAAGACACGCUUUACGUACUAGGAGAGAAGUGUGGCAAAUUGCUUGUCAUGAACGGGCGCGGGCACGUGUACACCGCCGACCUCGAGACCGGAGCAAUGAAGGAGGUAGCGGAUGGGCCUCACGUACGCCCCAACAGCCCUCUGGAUGCCGUGCUCUUGGAGAUGGACUGGCCGGCGAUCUUUGUUUCACGUCUUGGUAACGACAGGUAUAGCUAG